GUACACUAAUAUUUCAACAUAUAAUAGUUAAGUUGUCUAAUAUGUAUCAUGACAUGACAUUGCUUUAUAAGAUAAUAUAUACAAUCAUAACAUAUAUAUCAUAUCAGUACUUAUAAGCAUAUACAUCACCAUAACGUAACCUAUAAGUAUGUACUGAUUACAUGUAAAUACUAAUUUUUCCUAACUUCAAUUAUCUGGCUGUCACGAUAUUGUCGACAUCUGUAACUAGACAAAUUCUGCAAGAAAAAAAAAAUAAUUAGUUGAUUAAAUUUGACUACAAAUUAAUUAUGACAAUAAAGAUAACUUACAUAAGUUGGAAUUGUUCCUCUUUCACAAUAUGUGAUAAUUUCCUUCAUAUAUUGAUACACGUAAUACCCACAAUCAUUGUCAUUGGGUUGUCUUGAACACUAGAAAACCAAAAGUAAAAAAUAUCUUUAAAAUUGGAACUUAGCAGCAAAUCAAAACUCUAGUAAACUCUAAAUAGAUUCAGUGCAUGAUAACAAAUAAUUAUAUACCAUGUGCAAGUUUAAACUCUUAAUAGAAGGUCAUGCUUUCAUUACAACCGUAUACUCCUCCAACCAAUUUCACAAUAAUACAAGUUAUUUACCUAACCAAUAUCAUGUAACAAGGAAAUAAGUCUUCAAGCAUUUAAGAAGACAAGUUAUUCACCUAACCAGUAUAAUGCAAGCAACCAUAACGUGAACUAAGGGUCACAUAAGGUCAUUCAACAAUUUAAUCAUCACAGUCGAGAUUGUACUACACAUAAAACAUACUAGAGUAAUGUACCUUAAUUGUUUUCCACUUGAUAUUGUUAGAUUUAGACUUUGAAACCAUAAAUCAUGUUUGAGCUCGAUAUGUAUGUAUAAUCCUAGUGGUAGUGGGGCAUUACAAGUUAUCAACCAAUGUUGCAGAGAAAAUUAAACAAUGAAUUAGGCAUCAGUAACACCAUGAACCAGACAACAACCUCUAAAUGAAAUCACAAAUAUCAUAUUACAACUGGUCUAUAACAUUUUUUGUGUAAAUACAAUACCAACUAGUGCGUACAAGGGAUCCAACAAAACUGUGUAAUAAAAUUAGACUAUACAGGACAGUAAACAACCUGCACACAAAUCCUCNCGGCAAAUAUAAUUCAUAUGGAAUUACAUAGACAGUUAACCACAAACAGUACAGACCAUCAGAGUUCCAAUUCAUUUACAUAGUGAGCAUGCAUUUGUGAUCUUUCUAUACACAGGGAACAAGACUUUUAUUACUAGCUCAAAACUAUUUUAGCAAUCAUCACCGUUUGCAUCACUCAAUUAUAGAUUCACCAUUAGCAAUCAUCACCGUUAACUUUCUCAACCAUAUACAAACAUACAAUACAUCCUAGAAACUUAAACCACAAAUUCUCUUUUAUCCCAUAAUUUCCAGAAUCAGUUUCACAUGAAUAAUAUUUGCCAGAUUUAAAUUAUCAAAUAUUUUCUUUUUCAAAUUAACCAAAAUCACAUUUUAUAACUGGUCAUGCGCUCAAUAUUAACAUAACAACAAAUUCAUGAAACAAGAAUUAAAAUCAAAGACCCAGAUAAGCACCCAAAAACAAACACAUUCAGUUUAGUUCCCAAUGUCCUAAUAUCUCAUUAUAAAACUUCAUUCAGCUUUAUCCUAUUUCCCCAAAAACAGACUUGCCUUUAAUUGAUUAACACGCAGUAAAACAAAAUAAGAAUGAUGUGAUCUCUACACUAUCAAGAUUAUGAACUGCCUAACUAGGUUUUAGUUUAACUUAAUUCAUUUCAUAUAGAAAUUCAUAAUUAAAUUUACUCUAAACACAUGCCCAUUCAUUUNUAAAUGCAUAUCAACCUUGCUCAAACANGNAAAACACAAUCACAUUAUANAAAUUUCCAACCGGUGCAUUNAUUGAUCAUAAACCANAUUUCUUAGGUUAUAAGUUCAUUUUUAAUUUAAGAUACAACAUUNCUAACAAUACAAUGUUCCUGAAUCUCACACAAAUUCAAAGUCUGCCCAGUUUUAACGCAAUCACAUUUACUCCUGCACGCAUUUUCUCCAAUUUCCUUAAAACAAAACUUUUUUUCCCAGAACGUUCCCCCCCCCCCCCCUUCUUUUACCAAAACCCACUAACCUCAAAAACCAUUUUACAGAUUGAACAAAACCAAUGCAAUAUUAGAAAAUUCUCAAGUUUUUACGGACAAACGAUAACUCAACUCCCCUCAUAGGAUACCCGAAUGAGCAUUAAGAUAGGAGAACAUGCCAGACCUCAUAUAACAAAUGAGUACACUUAAAAAAAAACUCUUCAUACCUGGAUUUUGAUUCCUGCGCACUCCCACCGAACACUGUGACUUUCUCAGUCCUCUUUUUCACCCUUAGGUUUAUCAAAAUGCUUGAUUAAGUGUCUAUAUCCUUCCUUCUCUAGCCCCUUUUUCAGGUUUCAUCUAAAUCCCUAAUUCGCAUCCCCGAAACCCUAAAAUCAUUCUCACCAUCGUCUGAUUCCAUCUUCCCUUUACCCACCUUAAAACCAAGCCUUCAUCUCUCUCCCAGCGUUUAAUGUCUGCCGCAAUUUCCCCUAUGGCCCUACAUGAAAACAAAGAGAGAACAGGAGAAGAAAAGAGAAGAAGGAACAUCCGAAUUUAAGCAUUCCGUCCACCUCGAAUUCUCUCUCGCCAAUUUCUUUGGAUUUUCGACCUAGCUCCAAGAAGUAAAAAAAACAAAGAGAAAAGAAAUAAGGACAGAAAAUAUAAUUAAUUCUAUUCUCAACCGGUUACCAGCCACGUUCUUAUUAAACCCAAAAUUAAAAACCUUUUUUUCAUUUUUUUAAAUAUUCGUUUUUUUUCUUAAAACGCUAUCUAUUGGAUUGAAAUAGAU
rnacentral:lncRNA from 1 species